rnacentral:rRNA from 1 species
AGAGUUUGAUCCUGGCUCAGGAUGAACGCUGGCGGCGUGCUUAACACAUGCAAGUCGAACGGUGAAGCCCAGCUUGCUGGGUGGAUCAGUGGCGAACGGGUGAGUAACACGUGAGCAAUCUGCCCCUGACUCUGGGAUAAGCGCUGGAAACGGCGUCUAAUACUGGAUACGAACAGCGACCGCAUGGUCAGUUGUUGGAAAGAAUUUCGGUCAGGGAUGAGCUCGCGGCCUAUCAGCUUGUUGGUGAGGUAAUGGCUUACCAAGGCGUCGACGGGUAGCCGGCCUGAGAGGGUGACCGGCCACACUGGGACUGAGACACGGCCCAGACUCCUACGGGAGGCAGCAGUGGGGAAUAUUGCACAAUGGGCGAAAGCCUGACGCAGCGACGCCGCGUGAGGGAAGAAGGCUCUCGGGUUGUAAACCUCUUUCAGCGGGGACGAGGCCGACAAGGUUAAUAGCCUUGAGCGGUGACGGUACUCGCAGAAGAAGCCCCGGCUAACUACGUGCCAGCAGCCGCGGUAAUACGUAGGGGGCAAGCGUUGUCCGGAAUCAUUGGGCGUAAAGCGCGUGUAGGCGGCACGAUCAGUCCGGUGUGAAACCUUGGGGCUCAACCCCAAGCCUGCACUGGAUCCUGCCGCGCUCGAGUCCGGGAGAGGGAAGCGGAAUUCCUAGUGUAGCGGUGAAAUGCGCAGAUAUUAGGAAGAACACCGGUGGCGAAGGCGGCUUCCUGGAACGGUACUGACGCUAAGACGCGAAAGCGUGGGGAGCGAACAGGAUUAGAUACCCUGGUAGUCC